UACGUAGGGAGCGAGCGUUGUCCGGAUUUAUUGGGCGUAAAGAGCGCGUAGGCGGCUUGGUAAGCCCGGAUGUGAAACCCCCGAGCUCAACUCGGGGCGGCCAUUCGGAACUGCCAUGGCUAGAGUCUGGUAGGGGAACACGGAAUACCUGGUGUAGCGGUGAAAUGCUUAGAUAUCAGGUGGAACACCAGUGGCGAAGGCGGUGUUCUGGGCCAGUACUGACGCUGGAGGCGCGAAAGCGUGGGGAGCGAACGG
rnacentral:rRNA from 1 species